UUGCCCAGAGAGACUAUGGAGUCUGCAUUCAUGGAGAUACUCAGAAACUGACUGGACAUGACUCACAGCAACUAUGAGAAAGUGGGUUGGACUAUACGAUCUCUGGAGAUGACUUUCCUCCUCAACUAUGGGCUGAGUUGAGGGGAUGAAAUUGCUCAGAUGCCUGAGGCAGCAGACUGACUUGAAUCAUUAUGAUUAUUCAAAUGAGAAUUAUCCAAAUGACCCAGAUUUCUUCCCUGCUGCAUCAUGACAAAUUGCUAGACAAUGACACCUCUACUGUCUGAAUUUCUGUGGGCAGACACAUUUGGAUACCCAUACAGACAAAAUAUAAUUGAAGAAAAAAUCCUGCUGUAUCUCUCUGUAACAAACCUGAUUCCAUUAGAAAGCAGUCUUAAACUCUAAAAGAAAUAAACUUCACUGUAAA